AGAGUUUGAUCAUGGCUCAGGACGAACGCUGGCGGCGUGCUUAACACAUGCAAGUCGAGCGGAAAGGCUUCCUUCGGGAAGUACUCGAGCGGCGAACGGGUGAGUAACACGUGGAUAAUCAACCUCUUGCUCUGGAAUACCCCGGGGAAACUCGGAUCAAUGCCAGAUAAAGUGCGGUGCUGUCGGGCGCCGUACCAAAGAUAGCUUCGGCCUUCGGCGAGAGACGAGUCCGCGGCCCAUUAGCUAGUUGGCGGGGUAAUGGCCCACCAAGGCUACGAUGGGUAGCUGGUCUGAGAGGAUGAUCAGCCACACUGGGACUGAGACACGGCCCAGACUCCUACGGGAGGCAGCAGUGGGGAAUCUUGCGCAAUGGGCGAAAGCCUGACGCAGCAACGCCGCGUGCGGGAGGAAGGCCUUCGGGUUGUAAACCGCUUUCAGGGGAGACGAAGCUUCCAGGGUGAAUAGCUCUGUGGAGUGACGGUAUCUUCAGAAGAAGUCCCGGCUAACUACGUGCCAGCAGCCGCGGUGAUACGUAGGGGACAAGCGUUGUCCGGAAUUAUUGGGCGUAAAGCGCGUGUAGGCGGCCAAGUAAGUCUUACGUGAAAUCCUGAGGCUCAACCUCAGGCCUGCGCGGGAUACUGCUUGGCUAGAGUCCGGAAGAGGAGAGUGGAAUUCCUGGUGUAGCGGUGGAAUGCGCAGAUAUCAGGAGGAACAUCCGUGGCGAAGGCGGCUCUCUGGGACGGUACUGACGCUGAGACGCGAAAGCGUGGGGAGCGAACAGGAUUAGAUACCCUAGUAGUCC
rnacentral:rRNA from 1 species